rnacentral:rRNA from 1 species
CGCGUGAGGGAGGGGCUCUUGGGUUGUAAACCUCUUUUAUCAGGGAAGAAAGAUCUGACGGUACCUGAUGAAUCAGCAUCGGCUAACUCCGUGCCAGCAGCCGCGGUAAUACGGAGGAUGCAAGCGUUAUCCGGAUUUAUUGGGCGUAAAGCGUCCGCAGGUGGUUUUACAAGUCUGCUGUCAAAGCGCGAGGCUUAACUUCGUACAGGCGGUGGAAACUUCAAGACUAGAGUAUGGUAGGGGUAACGGGAAUUCCCAGUGUAGCGGUGAAAUGCGUAGAUAUUGGGAAGAACACCAGCGGCGAAAGCGCGCUACUGGGCCAUUACUGACACUCAUGGACGAAAGCUAGGGGAGCGAAAGGGAUUAGAUACCUAUUCA